GUAUCUAAAUCCACCUCAUUCCCUGCAGGAGAUGAUGCCGCCCAACCCAAACUACUCUGCCUGGCCUGAAUUCCCCAAUGAGAGGCAGCACCCACCCUGGCCCCCCCCCUACCAGACAGAGGAGCGAGAUGACUUCCAGGAUGGCUGCAGGCCCUGGGGCUUCCAUGGCCGUGGUAGGAGACAAGGCCAAUGCCUUCAGAGUAGCCACCGAAUGUCAGCCAAGACUGAAAGUCUUCAGCCCAGAGGGCAUUCGCCACCCUCUCAGUCCUCUCCCAGCUCUGGGAUGAGCCAGCCAGUGGUCAAAGAAGAGCCCCAGCCAGUGGUCAAAGAAGAGCCCCAGCCAGUGGUCAAAGAGCCCCAGCCAGUGGUCAAAGAAGAGCCCCAGCCACCUACUCCCAUCAAACCUGGUGUGCAGAGCAGUGAGCAGCAGGCUGAGGUUGUGGGAUUUCCCUCCUCACAUCCCAAACAGUGACCGGGUUUGCCUGGCUGGAGCCCCACACGGUGCUGCCAUGCCCCUGACCCUCACUGUGUCCUCCAGGACCUGCCAGCAGCCAGUCAGAAGGUCCCAGAGUGCCCCAGAGCCACCAGCACCCCCCAGAAGAGCCUGGCCGCUGAUCCCCAGGUUGUGACAGAGGCUGUAGAGCCAGAGCAGGCAGCAGGAGCGAUGCUGGUAGGACAUCACUCCUCUCCUGGAGCACCUCUGGAGGUAGAGCCAUGCAGGCAAAGCAGCUCUGAAGCUGGUGCUGGGUCACAUCCCUGCAGUCCCACAGCCCCUCCGGAGCCUGCUGAGCCAUCCCAGGGCCAGCAGUGCAAGGCAGAAGCUGCCAGUGCUGGGGUCCCACCUGGAAGUCUCACAGAGCCCAAGGUACAACCCAGAGAGGCUUCCUCCGAUGUCUGCAUCAAACAAGAGACCUCACCAGGGACCCAGCACCCUCCCGGGUCCAGUGAGAUGAAACGGCCUGCAGGAGGCUUGCACCAACCCUGCUCCAAGCUCCCCAAAACCUCCCCAGGCAGCAUGGACCACCGCUCUGCUUCUGUCCUCGCCAGGAUGAGGGAGAUUGAGCGGGCCUACCAGCAGUGCAGCCUGAACACUGCAGCGGUGGCCGCGAUGCUGCUGCAGGAGGAGCCUUCCUUGGAAGCAGCACUGGGGCCAGCACUGAGGGCAAACCUGCGCCAGGGCCGCAUCCACCACCUCCAGGAGCUGGAGGACUUCAUCAACAGCUACGACUCGGUCACCCAAGCUGCUGAGGGUGCUGAGCCUUCAGGUCAGGGUGUUAGGGACCCAUUGGAGUAGUUGUAGCAUCUCUCACGGACAUGGAGGAGGAGCUGAGUGUUUAGUUUUAGCCCUGCUCAGUGUGGCGAGGCUGCAGUGUUUGCUCCCUUACACCCCAGCUCCUCACUCCAUGCCUGGUCCACACCAAUGUGCCCUGAACCCCCUAGGGUUGACAUCUAAAUUAAACCAGUUGUGAUCUCUGCAGCACUUGCUCUGGCAUCAUUCUGGUCCCACUCUCCUGGGGUUGCAGAGCCCACCAUGGGGGCUCACUUUUGGCAUGGUCAAUGCUGUGCUGACCCCGAGGUGAGGAGGAAUGGGACAGAGGAGUGCUGCUUCUCCAGCAGUCUGAUUUCAGCCCAACUUUAUUGGAGCAUUGUCAUUGGCAGCAGCAGAGCUGCUCCCUUGGGCCCCUUGGUCCUCCCUUGGUGCUGUGAGGGAUGGACCAUGCCUGGCCAUGGCGUUCAUCCUUCAAGGUGUCCCAGUGAAGGAUCCCACCCUGCAGCCAGGACCCUGCCUGUCCCCACAGGUCCCCAGCAGCAGGACGAUGCAGGCAGCUCUGCCUUUGUCCCCUUCCCCUGCAUGCAGCUGCUCUCUGGGCUGCCACCGUGUCUGUGAAGGGAGGCUGCAGCUCCCUGCUCCCUACCUGCUUUUCCUGUUCCUAAUUGCGGGAGAGGCCGCUGGGAAUUGCACACUGUUGUUUGCCAGCGGCUGCCGGGGGGGAAGGAUCCCAGCAGCCUCUCAUGAGCCUUGAGCUGCAUCCAGCACACACCUGGACCAUGGUGAGAGCCCACCAGGGGCUGGCAGGGCAGCAGCAUGGGUCCAGUACCCCCAGGUCCCUGCUGCUAGGACACACUGCAGUGCUUGCUGCUGCCCCAAGGCUUUGCCGUCCUGCCCCUGGCCCUCUCUGGGGGCUCCCUGCCCAGGGAGCUCAUCCCGGGCUUGGGAAUGGGCUUCCCGAAGAAGAAACCCUCUUCCUCUGAGUCCGUGUCUGAAGAUGAAGAGCAGGUGGGACACCAGGAGU
rnacentral:lncRNA from 14 species